rnacentral:rRNA from 1 species
GAUGAACGCUGGCGGCGUGCCUAAUACAUGCAAGUCGAGCGAACGGACGAGAAGCUUGCUUUUCUGAUGUUAGCGGCGGACGGGUGAGUAACACGUGGAUAACCUACCUAUAAGACUGGGAUAACUUCGGGAAACCGGAGCUAAUACCGGAUAAUAUUUUGAACCGCAUGGUUCAAAAGUGAAAGACGGUCUUGCUGUCACUUAUAGAUGGAUCCGCGCUGCAUUAGCUAGUUGGUAAGGUAACGGCUUACCAAGGCAACGAUGCAUAGCCGACCUGAGAGGGUGAUAGGCCACCCUGGAGCUUGGACGCGGUCCAGACUCCUACGGUAGGCCGCAGUAGGGAAUCUUCCGCAGUGGGCGAAAGCCUGACGGAGCAACGCCGCGUGAGUGAUGAAGGUCUUCGGAUCGUAAAACUCUGUUAUUAGUGAAGAACAUAUGUGUAAGUAACUGUGCACAUCUUGACGGUACCUAGUCAGAAAGCCCCGGCUAACUACGUG